rnacentral:piRNA from 1 species
AGUUUCAAUAGAGGUGUGCCAA